rnacentral:lncRNA from 1 species
GCACGGGUAGUUUGACUAGGCACAUAAAAACACACCCUACAGAUAGGGCUAGAUUUUUUCAACUGCAAGCGCAGCAAUAGGGGACAAGUGUAGGUUCUGCGGUUAACCCUAGUACAGGUUCAAAUCUAGUUCAACCUGGAAUUAACACUGCCACCGGAGGUAUUUUAUAUUACGAUCCAAAUAGAGAUCGUCAAGAAUUAGCAAAGAUGAUUAC